rnacentral:rRNA from 1 species
UACAGAGAGUGCAAACGUUGUUCGGAAUUACUGGGCUUGAAGCGCACGUAGGCGGCGUUGUAAGUGUCGGGUGAAAUCCCACGGCUCACCCGUGGAACUGCCCGGCAUACUGCGAUGCUAGAGUGUGGUAGGGGAGAGCGGAACUCCCGGUGUAGCGGUGAAAUGCGCAGAUAUCGGGAGGAACACCAGUGGCGAAGGCGACUUCCUGGCCUGUUCUUGACGCUGAGGCGCGAAAGCUAGGGGAGCAAACGGG